GGGCCGGUAGAUCAAUGGAAGAUCGCCGCCUUGGCAUGGCGGAGGCUGCGGGUUCGAGUCCCGCCCGGUCCA
rnacentral:tRNA from 1 species